AUACGGAGGGUGCAAGCGUUAUUCGGAAUCACUGGGCGUAAAGGACGCGUAGGCGGGAAGCAAAGUCUGAUGUGAAAUCCUAUGGCUUAACCAUAGAACUGCAUUGGAAACUGGUUCCCUAGAGUAUGGGAGGGGGAGAUGGAAUUAGUGGUGUAGGGGUAAAAUCCGUAGAUAUCACUAGGAAUACCGAAAGCGAAGGCGAUCUCCUGGAACAAUACUGACGCUAAGGCGUGAAAGCGUGGGGAGCAAACGGGAUUAGAAACCCCAGUAGUCC
rnacentral:rRNA from 1 species